UAUACAUUAACGUUUAAUUCUAUGACCCUCUAUUUCCUCAUCUCUAGAAUGGAAGUAUUUAUACCUGGCAUGCCUGCUUGAAUGAAAUUACUCAUUAUGUAAAAGUAGAGGUAAUCAGCUUGUAACUGCACCAGGCAGAAGGGAAAUAACCCUGAACAAGACAGCUUGACUCCUGUCAUGGUGGAGCCUACAGUCUCUUGGAAGAGAUGAUGGAUAUAAAACUACUUUGUCAAUUGUAAAGAGGUUCUAAGAAGGAAGCAGUAGAAGAGUUGUUGGCCACAUGGUGAUAGAAUCGGAUACUGAAGGAUUUCUGGAUAAUCUCUGAGCACUGAGGCUGUCCUGCCACUCUGAGAGGCAGGGAGUAGGUGGCUAGUUCUAAAGCUGCCACAGAAGAUGUCCCAGCUUGAAUGCACAAGCAGUUGUGAAACUUGAUCCAAAUAAGUUGGCAAGGAAAUGGAGGCUGCAUUUAGCAAAAUCCAGGCAGACCCUAGGACUCUGGCUGGGGCAGGCGGGUGGUAAAUGGUCACUGAGUGUGGGAAGAAUUGUGUCUGUUGUGGGAAAAUCUCUGACCUGGAAUUACUGAGGUCUGGAUUCUUAAUCCUGUGGUGUUGGAA